GUGGGGAGAAGGCUCAGCUGUGAGAAAACCUUCAGUGCUGCCCAGCUGUAUCCAUAAGCUUGUCCCUAAGCAGCACUUUUGCUAAUAACCAGUCCCUAAUCUUUUCUUUCUUUCAAAUACUGUUAUGUUAAUUAAUGGCAGAAAAAGUGCUGGGGGAGGGCAUGCACAACUGGAAAAAAAUGAUGGGUUCAGCCGAGAUCACACCAUCCAGCUUUUUGAGUCAUUACAGGAGUAUUAGGUCCUCUCCGGGCAUGGUCAUUGGUUGGAGUGUCAGCCUCUACAGAACCCCCCUGGGCUCAAGUUUUUUGGCUCCUUGGUUCCUUGGUCUCCUUGUGGGGCUCCUGUCCCUUCCAGAUGUAAAAACUUGCUCUGUGGCUUAAGCUGGCCCAGAACUCACACUCAUCUUCCUAUGCCAGCUUCCUGAGAACAUUCUAUUUUCUUCAGGGAUGUAGUGCCAUGUUCCAGUAGGACUCCUGUACCAAGCUGCACAUUGGCAUCAUGAAGAAGACUGAGCAGAUUUAAACAAAGAGCCCAAGAAUACAAGAGGGAAAAAUGUCUUGGAAGGAUUGCAGGACCUUUCAGAGACACAAUACCAACACUGCUAUGUUGCUGAAGAUUCUUAGAGAUAAAUUGAGAUGUUCUCAGUGAAAGUGAUUGAUGAUACUUCCAGCUUCUGUCACAUGAAACGGGAACAACUAUAAAUGGAGAUAUAAUCAAAUAAGCAAACAUGGAAAUGGAAUUUUCAGUUGAUAAAGCGGA